AGGGGGAGGUGCGACAGCCUCCGGUGGGUAUUGCGGUCGCGGUAGCCAGGCCCCCCCAUCGUUCCCCAGACAACACCCCCGGACACAGCAGACAGGGCAGGGUGCUGCCCAGCAUGAAAGCAGUAUCACGCCCCAUGUAUCCUCUGGGUCGGGAGGCAGAGGAGAGGAAGAGGAUGACAGAGGAGCAGAUCAACCUUCAUCAUCUGGACAGAGAAAUGAUCAUGAGGGAAAACAAGGAGCGCGUGGAGUUUCCGCACCGGAUACACCCUUCC